UGAAAGAUGCCUGAAAAAAGGAUUAUUUUGAUGUAAUAAAUUAUGUUAUUUAACUCUUUCAA
rnacentral:tRNA from 1 species